AAAAGUUAUUACAUAGAGGUAGUUAAAAUUCAUACAAUCUUUUGAGGAAUAAAAUAUAGUAGUAUGUCUUCAUCCAUGGUUUUGCUUUCCUUGGUUUCAGUUAUCUUCAGUCAAUCCCUAAUUCCAGGAGAAUUUUGGAAGCAAUGAAGGUGUCACAUGCUCAUGGAGGAAAAGAUGUGGCAUGCGGUUCAAGUCCAAGUGGAGAUGACCAUCACUGCAGUUUCCAAAUCUUUGCCACCACAGAAGAGCAACUUGAUUCAAAUGAAUAUGCUAAGGAUCAGAGAAGCAAAUUAUGGCUAAUUACCUGAAGUCGCACAGCUAGUGAAUAGCAGAGCUGAGAAUUCACCUUGAUCUUUCAACUUCAAGAUUGGGACACUCCUGCUGCUCUAAACCAUGUUUCUUAAAGGAGGUAUGUUUUAUAUCUUUAAUAUUAUAAAAGAAGUUCUAAUGGAUGUCAAAAGAAGUGAUAAAUUAGUUUAAAGGGUGUUGCAGGCUACAGAUUCAGUACUUGGGACUUUCAAAAAAAGAUACAUUGUCAGUAUGGCCAGCUAAUAAUGAAGUUCUGCUCUUCUUCCCUCAGUGCCCAGAUUAGUCCCAAAACAUGGUUCAGUGAAUAUCAGCACAAGUUUUCUCUUCCCAGGGAAUUAACUCUUGGAGGAGAUAGGUUGAAUCCAAAUGUAAGAAAACUUAGGAAGUAAGGGGAAUAUAAAGAAGUUUUGAAAAUAAAACAGCUAGAAAACAGUGGGUAAGUUGAUAG
rnacentral:lncRNA from 1 species